CACUUCGGUGGGGAUUAGUGGCGAACGGGUGAGUAACACGUGGGCAAUCUGCCCUUCACUCUGGGACAAGCCCUGGAAACGGGGUCUAAUACCGGAUAACACUCCUGUCCUCAUGGGCGGGGGUUAAAAGCUCCGGCGGUGAAGGAUGAGCCCGCGGCCUAUCAGCUUGUUGGUGAGGUAAUGGCUCACCAAGGCGACGACGGGUAGCCGGCCUGAGAGGGCGACCGGCCACACUGGGACUGAGACACGGCCCAGACUCCUACGGGAGGCAGCAGUGGGGAAUAUUGCACAAUGGGCGAAAGCCUGAUGCAGCGACGCCGCGUGAGGGAUGACGGCCUUCGGGUUGUAAACCUCUUUCAGCAGGGAAGAAGCGAAAGUGACGGUACCUGCAGAAGAAGCGCCGGCUAACUACGUGCCAGCAGCCGCGGUAAUACGUAGGGCGCAAGCGUUGUCCGGAAUUAUUGGGCGUAAAGAGCUCGUAGGCGGCUUGUCACGUCGAUUGUGAAAGCCCGGGGCUUAACUCCGGGUCUGCAGUCGAUACGGGCUAGCUAGAGUGUGGUAGGGGAGAUCGGAAUUCCUGGUGUAGCGGUGAAAUGCGCAGAUAUCAGGAGGAACACCGGUGGCGAAGGCGGAUCUCUGGGCCAUUACUGACGCUGAGGAGCGAAAGCGUGGGGAGCGAACAGGAUUAGAUACCCUGGUAGUCCACGCCGUAAACGGUGGGAACUAGGUGUUGGCGACAUUCCACGUCGUCGGUGCCGCAGCUAACGCAUUAAGUUCCCCG
rnacentral:rRNA from 1 species